rnacentral:tRNA from 1 species
GGGUCUGUAGCUCAGCUGGUUAGAGCGCACCCCCCGGCAUUGGCAGGUAACAGGGUGAGGCUGGCAUUUCAAGUCCACCCAGACCCACCA